CCCUUAGAUGUUCUGGGCCGCACGCGCGCUACACUGUUCGACGCAGCGAGUCUUAACCUUGACCGAAAGGUUUGGGUAAUCUUCAGCAAAGUCGAACGUGAUGGGGAUCGAUCAUUGCAAUUAUUGAUCGUGAACGAGGAAUUCCUAGUAAGUGCAAGUCAUCAGCUUGCGCUGAUUACGUCCCUGCCCUUUGUACACACCGCCCGUCGCUACUACCGAUUGAAUGGUUUAGUGAGAUCUCUGGAUUGACGCUGGCUAGGGGGCGACCCUUGGCCAGACUGUUGAGAAACUGCUCAAACUUGAUCAUUUAGAGGAAGCAAAAGUCGUAACA
rnacentral:rRNA from 1 species